rnacentral:tRNA from 1 species
GCCCGGUUAGCUCAGUCGGUAGAGCAUUCGGCUUUUAACCGAAAUGUCGGGGGUUCGAGACCCCCAUUGGGCG